GACAGAGGUGCCAAGCGUUAGGCGGAACCACUGGGCUUAAAGCGUGUGUAGGCGGAUCGUUAAGUACCUUGUGAAAUCCCACGGCUCAACCGUGGAACUGCUGGGUAUACUGGCGAUCUUGAGCCACCUAGGGGCGAGCGGAACAAACGGUGGAGCGGUGAAAUGCGUAGAUAUCGUUUGGAACGCCAACGGUGAAAACAGCUCGCUGGGGGUGUGCUGACGCUGAGACACGAAAGCCAGGGGAGCGAACGGG
rnacentral:rRNA from 1 species